rnacentral:ncRNA from 1 species
CAAAAGCUUGGUCCUGGCUUUGCUAUCAGCUUUGGCCAAAUUUACACAUGCAAGUAUCCGCCCUCCUGUGAGAAUGCCCUACAAUUUCCCCCCAGAGGGAAAAAGGAGCUGGUAUCAGGCACAACCCCUUGCUUAGCCCACAACACCUUGCUCAGCCACACCCCCAUGGGAACUCAGCAGUGAUAAACAUUAAGCCAUAAGUGAAAACUUGACUUAGUUAAAGCCAACAGAGCCAGCAAAACUCGUGCCAGCCGCCGCGGUUAUACGAGGGGCUCAAGUUGAUAGCUAUCGGCGUAAAGAGUGGUUAAGACACCCAACACUAAAGCCAAACACCUUCAAAGCUGUUAUACGCACCCGAAGACAGGAAGACCUCUCACGAAAGUAGCUUUAAAAUUUCUGAACCCACUAAAGCCAGGACACAAACUGGGAUUAGAUACCCCACUAUGCCCGGCCAUAAACAAAAGUAGCAAUAUUACCCCUGCCACUCGCCCGGGGACUACGAGCAUAAGCUUAAAACCCAAAGGACUUGGCGGUGCUUUAGACCCCCCUAGAGGAGCCUGUUCUAGAACCGAUAACCCCCGUUCAACCUCACCCUCUCUUGUUUUUCCCGCCUAUAUACCGCCGUCGUCAGCCUACCCUGUGAAGGACACAUAGUAAGCAAAAUUGGCACAACCCAAAACGUCAGGUCGAGGUGUAGCGCAUGAGAGGGGAAGAAAUGGGCUACAUUCACUGACACAGUACAUACGGACGAUGUAUUGAAACCAGACAUCUUAAGGAGGAUUUAGCAGUAAGGAGGAAAAUAGAGCGUUCCCCUGAAACUGGCCCUGAAGCGCGCACACACCGCCCGUCACUCUCCCCGAGCUUACAUUUCAAACAUAAGUAAACCCCCAUAAUUGCAAAGGGGAGGCAAGUCGUAACAUGGUAAGUGUACCGGAAGGUGCACUUGGAAAAAU